GAAUGCGGAAGGCCCCGCCCUGCGCGCCGCCUGGCCACCCUGCCGCGCGCGGGGAAUAGGAGCGGCCGGAAAAGUAGGCACUACCGCGAAUUUGAUUUGGGGAGAGUGCGGUUUCAGAGAUGGUGCGAUCUCCGGGCCCACUCUGGGGUAUCCUCGACCGGAGGCUACUGCUCUCCCCGGGUCUGCCCUAGAAGCUCGAGGGAACGUCCUGUGCUUACCUCCGCUGCUGCCGAGGCUCCCUGCCACUCCGCCACCACACCCCGCCAUGGGCCUGAAGCUCUACCUGGACCUACUGUCCCAGUCCUGCCUCCUUUGUCUACCUCUUUGCUAGGAGGAAUGGCAUCAUCUUGGAGCUGCGCACAGUGGAGCUACUCAAAGGUGGACAGGCUUGUGCCCCACAUGUCUUCAGGCCGGGCGCCUCCACGGCCCCUCCUUCCCGAGCUCCCAUUAACUCCACACACCUCCAUCCUCCCCACCCCGAUUCUAGGAUAAAAACAUCGCAACGUUUAGUAGAGCAAAAAGAAGAUUUUAUUUAGCAUAUAUUCAAAGAGGCAAGCUGGAAAUGAACAAGCAUGUUGUCAGAGCCAUGUCUGCCCAAAUCCAAGGAAUGUUACGAAACAGACUAGAGUGGGAAAAUGGCCGAGAAUGCUGCUAAAGCCAUGUCUGCCCGAGUCCAAGGAAAUAUGACAGAGUAAGCAAAAGUGGGAAAACUGACAAGCAUGUUGCUAGAGCCAUGUCUGCCAAGGAACAUUACAGAGUCAUCAGUGUACAUUAACAUUAAAAAAUAAUAAUAAUAACGUUUACAAAUAGGCAAAACCAAUGAAAGCUUCACCUAUUCACAGACUGGCUAGAGACUGUGAUCCUACAUUUUGAAUUGUCUUUUUUAACAAUCAUUGGUACAGGUUUCAGUAAGGACAGUCAGGAAGGUCUUCACUGGUCCAACAGAUCUUACUAUUUGCUACAUGCUAACAGAAAAAGAAAAAAGUGCAAAGUAUGUGGGUCUUUUGUGCUGUGUUUUAUGGUUUGUUUAUAUGAAAGCUUCCCUAAAAGAUGUUUUCCAAGAUUAUCGUAGCUAUUGUCUUUAUACUUCAGGACCCAGUUUAUGUGUCCUUGUGAGUCCUCAUGAGUCCAGCUCCAGCUGGGUCACAUUUUAGUACAGGGAAUAAUGGCUCCAAUAUUAUCUCUUAAAUCACCCCACAAUGCUCUUCUCCUUAAGUCCCCCUCAACCUCGUGGUUCCCCAUAACUCCUUCCUCCCUAAGUGCCCCUCAAUACCACGGCUCCCCGAGGUCUCCUCCUUUCCUUCCCCAGCACCACUGGAGGUGACCCCAGCUUUGUGACCCUGGGCAGUCGCCUCUCUGGCCCUUAGUUCUCUUCUCUGUCAAGGAGGACCACGAGGAGGAUCACGUACCUUCUGCUCUGUGGGGUGGGAAGCAGCAUUCCAAGCAUUGUCUGAGUUCCUGCGUUGAAAGUGUUUGUAAAUUCAUAAAUCUUUGAAGAUGUUGGGGAGAUGCCAUGUUGUCGGGGAAUUGGGUCUGAGCCGCUCUCCUUGCUUUCCCUCCACUCGCCCACCCCUGUUGUUGUUUUAUGCCUUCAAGUUGAUUCUGACUCAUGGUGACCCCAUAUGUGACAGAGUAGAAAUGCCCCCUAGGGCUUUCUUAACUGUAAUCUUUGGGGAAGCAGAUUGCCAAGCUUUUUUCUGAGGUACCACUGUGUAGAUUUCAGCCAGCCACCUUUUGGUUACCAGCUGAGCAAAAACCAUUUGUGCCAACCCAGACCUGGAGAAAUAACCUCUCUUCACCCACCCUCGACCACUCCUGACUAUUUCCAACGCCAUCCGCACAUGGCAGGGCAGGGCAGCCAUCCCAACGCCCAGCCCGGGAGACCCAACCAAGAAGGCCAACACUAGGACAACACAUGAGCGAGGAGUUUUUCCGAGUUAACAGCCUGCAUAAAGUGCCCGCUCUCAAGGAUGGCGACUUCAUCUUGACCUUCACCCCUGAGCUCCAGCCCCCCAGCUCACGGUGCUCCCCCUGGCCUCGGGCCCUCCCAGAAUGCAAGGGCAGCAAGGGGACAGCCGAUGGAAAGUCCAGGGUGACAGGUGGUGUGGCCUGUCCCUGCUUCUCUCUCAUCUCCAACCUCCUCUUCUGGAGCCAAGCUCUCCCUGCCCCCAAGUGACAGGGCAUUAGGAGAGAGGAUGAGGGGACAUAUGUCUGGUGUUGGGCUGAGAAUAAGUUCAACAAAUGGAGGCUGGGCAGGCUUCUUCCCAACUCCUCCAGCCCACAGAGUUGGCCCAGCUCCAAUAGGAGGAGAACAGAGGUCAGGCGGCUGCAGGAGUGAUGGCAGGGCACCUGGCCAAUGGGACCCAUGGCAGACUGAGGACACGCUCCCUUUGCUGAUCCCUGGCUCAUGCAUUGGGCCACAAGGGCAGCUUGGCUGAGCACCCACAGUGGGCUCGCCAGACACGUGAUUGGCUCCAUGGGCCCCGGUAGCCCCUUCUGAGCUGCAUCACCUUGGGCAAGUUACUUAACUACUCUGACGCUCAGUGCAAAAAAGAAUAAGACUCUCUACUCCACAGUCUACCUGUUGGGUUGUCAUAGAGCUGAGGUUCUGAAAACUGCAAAGCAAAGGGCCUGGCCUAGUGUCUGAGACAAAAGAGAAAAGGGUAGGCUUUGAGAGGGAGUAAUCAAAGGAGAAUGGGAGGCAAUGCCCAGGGUGCUGGGGGUGGGGGAGGCAGGAGGGGAGCCCACCGACUGCAGAGACACUCCCUGGGGGGAUGGAAACAAGGCUGGGAUUAAGGCCCUCACCACCUCUGCACCUGCCCCAGUGUGGCCAUCCUGAACUACCUGACCCUCAAGUACCAGACAGAGGCCCACUGGUACCCCCCCCACCCCCUCGACAUGCAGGCCUGCACCCGCAUCCAUGAAUACUUGGGCUUUUACAAUGACUGCAUCUGAGGCACCUUUGAUGUGCUGAUAUGGACCCAGGUGAGGAGUGAGCACCCUAUGCAGGUUGGUGAGCACUGGGACCGGGAAGUGCAAGGGCCACAGGGUGAGCCACCCUCUACUGCCCUGGACGGACCAGGAGCUGCAGCAGCUGGAGGACAAGUUCCUGGGGGAUAAGCCCUGCCUCGCCAGCCACCGGGUGACCCUGGCUGACAUCAUGGAGCUCAGGAGCUGAUGCAGGUGGCCACGACUGGCGGCAUGGCAUGAGCGAGCGGAGGCUUUCCUGGGUGCUGAGCUGUGGCAGGAGCCCACAGCCCUAUCCUGAGCAUCCUGGAACAGGUGGCCAGCAAGAUCAUCCUGGUGCCCCCACCAGAGGCCCAUCCAGGCAUGUUUCUCUGAAUUGCCAGGAUCCCAAGAGGCCUGGGCUUCCCUGAGGGCUAGCUGGUGAGGGCCAGGAAAUUAGCAAUAAAGAUUCAUUCUAUUAGUUGUCCCAUUCGUCUUUUGAGUCCUACUCCAUCCAGUCUCCCAUCUCUGGCUACAGGAAGGGUUCUGCACAGACAUUGCUUUGCUUUAGGUGCAGCAUAUAUAACAAACAGCAGACUAAAAUCCACCCUAUAGAAAUGUUCACGAUCAUUAGCCAUUAGAGAAAUGCAGAUCAAAACUACAAUGAGAUUUCAUCUCAUUCCAACAAGGCUGGCAUCAAUCCAAAAAACACAAAAUAGUAAAUGCUGGAGAGGCUGUGGAGAGGUUGGAACACUUAUACACUCCUGGUGGGAAUGUAAAAUGUAGGAAAUCAAUUUGGUGCUUCCUUAAAAAGCUAGAAAUAGAACUACCAUACGAUCCAGCAAUCCUGCUCCUUGGAAUAUAUCCUAGAGAAAUAAGAACCUUUAUGCGAAGAGAUAUAUGCACAUCCAUGUUUAUUGCAGCACUGUUUACAAUAGCAAAAAGAUAGAAGCAACCAAGAUGCCCAUCAACGGAUGAAUGGAUAAAUAAAUUAUGGUAUAUUCACACAAUGGAAUACUACACAUCAAUAAAGAACAGUGAGGAAUCUGUGACACAUUUCAUAACAUGGAGGAACCUGGAA